GAUGAACGCUGGCGGCGUGCCUAAUACAUGCAAGUCGAGCGAACAGAUAAGGAGCUUGCUCCUUUGACGUUAGCGGCGGACGGGUGAGUAACACGUGGGUAACCUACCUAUAAGACUGGGAUAACUUCGGGAAACCGGAGCUAAUACCGGAUAACAUUUGGAACCGCAUGGUUCUAAAGUGAAAGAUGGUUUUGUUAUCACUUAUAGAUGGACCCGCGCCGUAUUAGCUAGUUGGUAAGGUAACGGCUUACCAAGGCGACGAUACGUAGCCGACCUGAGAGGGUGAUCGGCCACACUGGAACUGAGACACGGUCCAGACUCCUACGGGAGGCAGCAGUAGGGAAUCUUCCGCAAUAGGCGAAAGCCUGACGGAGCAACGCCGCGUGAGUGAUGAAGGGUUUCGGCUCGUAAAACUCUGUUAUUAGGGAAGAACAAAUGUGUAAGUAACUGUGCACGUCUUGACGGUACCUAAUCAGAAAGCCACGGCUAACUACGUG
rnacentral:rRNA from 1 species